CCGUUUGUUUCACUGUUACUUCCGCGUCCCCCUCGUCCGCGUCCCUCCGAACGCACGGAACAAGCCACAGCCAUCACAGAUCCGAGCUCGCGCCCGCCUACCUCGACGACCACCGCCGCGCGCGGCUCCGGGAUCGGAGACCUUUCGCCCGGCAGCCUCGCGGCGACCGCGGGGUGGGGCGGCCAUGGAGGACUACCCGGAGGAGCUGCGGACGCCGCCGGUGUCGCUGGUGUCCAUCGUGGGGUGCCCGGAGAUGCACGCCACGAUCUCGGCGGCGCUCAGCUCCCAGCAGCCGCCCAUCAACACGCUGGCCCUCCCGGACUUCGCCAAGGCCAACAUCCUCUCCCGCACCGGCAAGAGCCGCGACCCGCUCGCGCCGCCGCAGGCCGCCACGGGGAUCCUCAAGAAGGACUGGCUCCUCAAGCACCGGACGCGGGUGCCCGCCGCCGUCGCCGCCAUGUUCCGGGCCGAUCAGGUCACCGGCGACCCCGCCCAGUGGCUCCAGGCCUGCUCCGAUCUCGAGAACCUCAAGUCUAUAAUCCAGGGAAGACAUACUAAAUUGGUGGUGAUCCUUGUACAGACUCAAGCUGGUGAUGAGCUGGGUGAGGAAGUUAUGGUUGCCCUGAGAAAACGUGCGGAGAUUGAUUCUAAGCACCUGAUUGUGUUGGUUGAGAGUGAUGAAGCAGAACGGAACGCAUCUCUCCUCAAAUUGAGGACUAUUUUUGCGGAGCUGUGUUCCACAUACUAUAAGGGGGAAGGGCGAAGGAUAAAAGCCCGCAUUGAGAAGAGGAACUUCUCUUCUGUGGAGCUGAGUGUCCGCUACUGCUUCAAGGUUGCUGUUUAUGCGGAGUUUAGGCGGGAUUGGCCAGAAGCAUUGAAGUUCUACGAGGAAGGAGUUCGUGUUUUGCGUGAGAUGAUUGGGACUUCAACAAGGUUGCCUCCAACCCAACGCCUAGUUGAGAUAAAAGCAGUCGCCGAUCAAUUUCACUUUAAGAUAUCAACGUUGCUGCUUCAUGCUGGGAAGGUCGUAGAAGCAAUCACAUGGUUCCGUAAACAUAUCCGAAGCUUUGAGCGUGUUGUUGGAUCACCAGAAGUUGCUUUUCUUCAUUGGGAAUGGUUUAGCAGGCAGUUCCUUGUCUUUGGUGAGCUAAUAGAGACAACAUCAACAACUGUUCCAGAUACAAUAUCCCCCCGGUUUGGUACUGCUGACAAUGCAUUGACUGAGUGGGAAUUUCAGCCAGCUUACUACUACCAGUUAGCGGCAAAUUACCUCCGAGAGAAGAGGUGUGCUUUAGAGUGCCCUUCGUCAAGUGCAAAUCUUACCGGUGAUAGCCAAAUACCUGACUCCGUAAUGUCUUCUGUAUAUGUUGGCCAGUAUGUCCGCCUGUUUGAGGAAGGAGAUACCAUUUCUGUGCUUCCCCUUUCUGAUACAGAAUAUACCAGUUAUGCUUUGUCAGAAGCUGAAAGGUUUCAAGAUUCGUAUGAGAUAAUUGCAUUGUUCAGAAAAGCUUAUGAAUCAUUUCUGAGUCUAGGGGCUACGAGAAUGGCUUCUUCCUGUAGUGCUGGAAUGGCUAUAGAAUAUUAUGCAGCUGGGGAAUUUGGUAACGCAAAAAAACUUUUUGAUGGCGUCGUUGGUCUAUACCGUCAGGAGGGCUGGACUACUUUGCUUUGGGAAAACCUGGGUUACUUGAGAGAAUGCUCAAGGAAACUUAAUUCUCUGGUGAAUUUUAUCAGCUAUUCACUAGAGAUGGCUGCAUUACCGUUAUUCUCUGGCAGUGUACAGGGCAACUCUGAAAAUAAAAGUAAUGGACCAGCAGGUUGGCCUACCAUUUCCAGGAGAGAGGAAAUACAGCAAGAAGUUGUCGAUAUUCUUGAAGGAAAACAUACAUCCCAAGUUAUCGAUGAUGAAUUUAAUCUUCAGUUGACGGAAGAAUCUACUCACCUAGUUAUUGAUCAAAUAAGUCCUCUAAGAAUAGUGCUUGUUGCAUCUGUUGCUUUUCAUGACCAAUCUGUAAAACCUGGCUCACCUCUGCUUGUCAGCGUGUCAUUGUUGUCUCAUCUUCCUUCUCCAGUUGCAAUUGAUCAAUUGGAGGUUCAGUUCAACCAAUCUGACUGUAACUUUGUCAUGGUUAGUGCACAGGAAGAUUCUUCUACGUUGAAUUCAGAUGUUUAUGGCCAAGUCGUCCAUUCUACUUCUCUUACAUUGUUCAGCAAUAAAUGGAUGCGGUUGACGCAUGAAGUUAAAUCAGGACAAAGUGGAAAGUUGGAAUGUUUAUCGGUGAAGGCAAUAAUAAAUAAGCACCUUGUGGUUUGCUGCCAGGCUGAAAGUCCUGCUUCAAUGGAAGACUUCCCGCUGUGGAAAUUUGAGGAUCAAGUGGAGACAUUGCCUACAAAGGAUGCUGCACUCGCCUUUUCCGGGCAGAAACUGAUUCAAGUCGAAGAGCCAGACACUCAAGUUGACCUUGUCUUAGAUUCUACUGGCCCUGCGCUGGUUGGAGAGUUGUUUGUUGUCCCAGUAACCAUAUUAUCAAAAGGGCACGCAGUUCAUUCUGGUGAGCUGAAAAUUAAUCUUGUCGAUGCCAAAGGCGGUGGUCUUCUGAUGAGUCCAGGGGAAGCAGACGAAUCUGAAAGCCAUCACGUUGAACUUCUUGGUGUUUCAACCGCAAGUGGGGAUGAAGUGUCGAAGGAAGAAGUCGAUAACAUUAAAAAGAUUCAAUAUUCAUUUGGGGUCGUAUCAGUUCCCACGUUAGUUGCUGGUGAUUCCUGGUCCUGCAAAUUGGAAAUUAAAUGGCAUGGAGCAAAGUCACUCAUGCUCUAUGUUUCACUUGGCUAUUCUCUAGACUCGAGUGAAGAUGCAUCACUACACAGACUUAACGUGCACAGAAGCUUGCAAGUUGAAGGAAAGAUCCCCAUGAUAGUUGGUCACCAGUUUUUGAGACCAUUUAGGCGAGAACCCUUGUUGCUAUCCAGGAUCAGAUCCUCAAGCGACAACAAUAAAAAAGAUUCACUUGCUAUGAACGAGUCCAAUAUGCUUAUUGUGAGUGCUAGAAAUUGCACCGAGGUCCCUUUGCGUUUGCACUCGAUAGCCAUUGAAUCUGAUGGUGAUGGGAAGCAGCUGUGCUCUGUGGAACAAAUCAGCGGACUAUCGGAUGAAUACGCGGUUGUUGCUCCUAGCGCAGAAUACAAAGCAAUAUUUUCAGUCAAUCCAAGGGCCAGCAAUCCAGACUUUUAUUUAGGUGAACUUUGCCUGAACUGGUCAAGAGAUUUAGUCCUUGGAGAGAAUCAAGAUAGCCGUGUUACAAUGAAGCAAAGAUUACCCGAGGUUCAUAUCGAGGAGCCGCCGCUUGUUGUGAGCAUCGAGUGCCCUCCCUACGCUAUCCUCGGGACCCCGUUCACUUUCUAUGUGAAGAUCCACAAUUCAACAUCCUUACUCCAGGAAAUCAAGUACUCUCUUGUUGAUUCCCAGAACUUUGUUUUCUCUGGGGCUCACAAUCAUGCCGCAUUCAUUCUGCCGAAAACCGAGCAUACUGUUAGUCACAAGCUCGUGCCGCUUGGUUCCGGUUCCCAGCAGCUGCCGAGGAUAACAGUAACUUCGGUGAGGUACUCUGCUGCAUUGACUCCUCCAACCUCAGCCACAUCCGUCUUUGUGUAUCCCAGCGAGCCCAAAUUCAACCUGGAAAAGAGCCACCCCAUAUCCGAUGAAUGCGUGAGCUAGAUUUUCACAGACCGGGCAACUCACUCUUUAUACCCCCUUUCAAACGGGCUGUGGUGCUCAAGCAGAGUCACCGCUGGAAAGAAAAGCCUAUCGGUGAUUCUGCCCCACCUCCUUGCUGAACAGGCUUGAAGCAAAAUGCUGUUGUCGAGUGUUGAUCGGCACGGCGCCGAAGUUUUGGCCUUGUUUUGAAUAUUGGUUUCUGUAGACCUUUUGGAUAGACCACAUAUGCCUUGUAACAUGUGAUUAUACUCCAUUGUUUUUUGGCUCAAGGAUAGUUGCACACAGUAGACAUGGCGCGUUGGUGCUGUAUGUAAAUUAGGCCCCACCAGGCAAGUGGGGAAUAAGUGAGCCCCAUAUCUAUCUCUCAGUAGCAGAAGUUUUUUGUUAUCUUCAGGUUCAUUGUCUCUGCAAAACUUGUGUUUAACCAUACUGACAUCUCUGCUGCUACAAGCUUUCAUAUCCAGUGUUUGUCAUUCUCCAGUUUUUCUUUCAGCGCACAAAAGGCUUUUUACUCCCUAUAUUUUGCCCCCAUUUGUAAUGGUGAAGUGGCGCCAUUUCCAGUAAUUUUUACUGCCUUUUUGACCCCAGUUGCAGUGCAAGAUUUUGAUCGAUCAAUGCAGAAAAAACGAGCUGUUUCGCGUGGAAUCUGUGCCGGUUUUCAGUAAACCUAGUGCUACUAGUAAUCACCACCUGGAAAGAGCUCGGUGGUCUGGGCGAGAAAGGGACGUCGCAGCGGGGUGGCUGCGUGGUUCACGACGGUCGCCGUCCGGGCGGCGGCGCGCUCCAGGCCGGCUCGGAACCAUGCCGCCUCAGACCAAACAAUCUCUCUCGCCCAUAAAAAUCCGGGCGAUUUCGUCCAUGGAAAUCCAAACUCGCUGCCAUCUUCCCUGAUUCGCUCGCCUCGCCUCGCCUUAAACCCAACCAAUCCCAUCCCAUGCUACCAAGUGCCACGGCGACAAACACGUACACGUAUUGGCCUGGCGCCGCGGCUGGGGGUCUAGGGUUUAGCCGGGCGGCAAUAAUUGGGAGGCCGAGAGGAGAAUCAAAUCGAUACUCCCGGCCCCGGACGACCUGCUUGGCUGCGCGCGUCUCGAUACCACCUACCCCGUCGCCGUCAGAGCCUCUUCCCACGCGCCGCUCCCCUGUCCUCGCACCCGCCGCCGCCGCCGCCGCCUGCCGGGCCGAGAUGGAGGUCGCUGCCGCCGCCGCCGCCGUCGCCGUCCCGAGGCACAAGGUGAAGAAGCAGAUUAACCUCUUCUACUGCGCCGAGUGCGAGGAGCUCGCCCUCAAGGUCGCCGCCGCCUCCGACGCCAUCCAGCUCCAGUCCAUCAACUGGAGGAACUUCCCCGACGGGUUCCCGAACCUGUUCAUCAACAACGCGCACGACAUCCGGGGGCAGCACGUGGCCUUCCUCGCCUCCUUCAGCUCGCCGGCGAUCAUCUUCGAGCAGAUCUCCGUCAUCUUCGCUCUGCCCAAGCUCUUCAUCGCCUCCUUCACGCUCGUGCUGCCCUUCUUCCCCACGGGCACCUUCGAGCGCGUCGAGGAGGAGGGCGACGUCGCCACCGCCUUCACGCUCGCGCGCAUCCUCUCCAUGAUCCCCAAGUCGCGCGGCGGGCCCACCAGCGUCGUCAUCUACGACAUCCACGCGCUCCAGGAGAGGUUCUACUUCGGGGACGACGUCCUGCCCUGCUUCGAGACCGGCAUACCGCUCCUGCUGCAGCGCCUCAGCCAGCUCCCCGACGCCGACAAUGUCACCAUUGCCUUCCCAGAUGAUGGGGCGUGGAAGCGCUUCCACAAGUCGUUGGCCAACUUCCCAGUGGUUGUCUGUGCGAAGGUCCGUGAAGGCGACAAGAGGAUAGUCCGCAUUAAAGAAGGGAACCCUGAAGGGCGACAUGUCGUUAUUGUUGAUGAUUUAGUGCAAUCUGGUGGAACUCUUAGAGAGUGCCAGAAAGUUCUGGCUGCUCAUGGUGCUACAAAAGUCAGCGCCUAUGUUACUCAUGCUGUGUUCCCCAAUCAGUCAUAUGAACGCUUCAUGACUGCUAAUUCUGCUGGGCCAGGUGACCAGUUUGCUUACUUCUGGAUCACGGAUUCGUGCCCUCAGACAGUGAAGGCCAUCAGCCAACAACCUCCAUUUGAGGUGUUGAGCCUUGCUAGCUCGAUUGCUGAUGCCCUUCAGAUAUGAACAUGGACUGUGAAAUGGGCUGCUCCUGAAUGUAGAGCUUACAUUCCCAGCUCCAGCGAAACAAAUAAUGUGGAGCGAGUUCUAGUUAUCUAAUUGUGUCUAGUCUGAAGCUUUCAUAAGCAGCCCAUGGUUUGAUAAUAAAACAAGGCAUUGGAUAUUCAUCCGUGCGGUUCCCUGUAUUUCGCUUCUAAUGCUGUAGACCGGUCCGGUGUUUUAAUUUCCUGACAUGACAUGUAUGAAGGCUGAAAACCUGAGCGUUUAAAUUUGGUUGAAAUUCUAGGUCAGGUGUUUUAAUUUACUGAAUUUUCAUCAUAUUGGCGUGAUAGGAUACAUCAAUCG
rnacentral:rRNA from 1 species